rnacentral:lncRNA from 1 species
UGUUCACAUUCAACCAAAUCUUCUGACUGGUGGAGAUGAGAUGGAAGAAGGUGACGAGUCUUUCGAUGUCCAUAAUCUGGGCAAAGAUCCGGAGAAUGAAGAGGAGGAGCGCUUUGAGUUUAAGGAAAUUGACAUGAACUCCUUGAUGUCAGAAUACCAAGAGAUUGACACGACAGCUUCAAUGUCAGUUGCCAAACCAGACAGACUACAGCAGCUGCAGGAUGAAGUGGCUUUAGCUGAAACUGAAGCCAAUGUUGUCGCAGAAG